CAUUAUAUAUUUAUUGAAAAUGUGUUUUAAAUUCUUAAUAAGUAUGUGUGUUGUAAUUGGGACUAUGCGCCGUUCCUAUGGGAUAUCACUGCCUCUCCCAUUGGACAUGGAAGGAGAAUAUAUCGGUGAAGUAACUGUCGAUUUAAAGGAAGAUGGAAUGCGUCUGCGACGUUCAACAGACGGCGUGUCCAUUCCCGCCAAAACAAUAGAGGUCACCUUCCCUUUCAAUAACGGACAAGUGAGCCUUCAUUUAAAGAGAAUGAAUGAACUGUCAGCGAAUGUUCCUGUCUUUGCUGCAAAUGACAGGGGAGAGAUAGUGCGACAGUAUAUUCAGGACAAAAGUAAUGUGUUUUACUAUCAAGACAAAAACAGAUUUGCCGCUUUUUACGUCGAAACCACAGACAACGCUUUGUGCAUGUUUGGAAGUUUUGAAGACAAAUCCGACGAGUAUUUCCUAGAACCAAAAGCGAAAAAUUGUGAUCCGGAAAGUUCGGGUGUGUUUAAAAUUCUGAUGGCCAAACACACAAAUAUUUCCUACUGUGAUAGCAUAUCCAUGGACAGUAGAUAUAUGCGAUAUAAAACUACCCCGCCGGGAGCCCCUGUACCUGAGGAUCUGGUGAGGCGGAAAAGAGCCGCACCUGAGUACAAGAUAGAAACGCUGCUGAUUGUAGAUUUCUCUGUGUAUGAAUAUUGGUACACACACAGUACGAAGGCGAUACCUUCUGAGAAGGAUGCGGAAGCAAAAGCCAAUAUCCGCCAGUACUACGCCUGGGUCAUCAAUGGGUUGGAUGUACGAUACAAGAACAUACAGACCUCCUUAUACACAAUAUCUGUUGUCUUUGCUGGAAUCUACAUAGCAGAUAAUCCUUCAAAAUCGACUUUUACGGAAAACCACAAAGAUUCGUCAGUUCCUACACCACAAGUGGAUGCCGUGACAGUUAUUACAGACGUCACAUCCUGGGUAAACAGCAAUACUGCGGGCCUUCCUAGCCACGAUCACGCAAUGAUGUUUUCAAGGUACGACUUCACCAGGUCAGGGUCGAACGGUAUCGCUGGAUUAGCAUGGGCCUCGAGAAUGUGUACUAACCUUAGUGUGACUAUAGUGGAAGAUCAUUUCAAUUUCGACAUCAUUACAGUAGCAGCUCAUGAACUUGGACACAGCCUGAGCGCAGACCACGAUGGUACAGGGAAUGGUUGUAGCAGCUCGGACCUUUACAUAAUGGCCUCAACGUCGUCUAUAGUAGACAGCACGAAUCCUUGGAAAUUCUCAACUUGCUCAACAAAUUAUUUCACAGCUUACAUUACUUUCUUAAACCGUUCCCUUACGACAACAAUUACACGUCCAUAUGUACAACUUUGUGGUGUCACAAAACAGACGGAAGUGGGGGAUGCAAGUCCAUUGUGGGGGCGGAUGGUCUUCACUGCGGAAACAAAAAGAACCGACAUCCACAACAAUGCCAGCAACAUUAACCAAGAUUCAAACUACAACACUCCCGGAAUCAACUGCAAAUAUCACAAAACCAACGACAAUCACCACGGAACCAACAACAAAUAUAUUAGACCUGUCAACAACGGUCAUAGGACCAAAUACACAAGAACCAAUUAUAACUUCCACCGAACCAAUGACAACUGCAACAAAAGCAACAACGUCUAUCAUAGGACAAACAACAACUUCUAGCGGUGAACCAACAACUGCCACAGAGCCAGCAACAACUUCCACAGAGCCAAUAAUAACUACCACAGAACCAAUAACUGUCACAGAUCCAACAACA
rnacentral:sRNA from 1 species